rnacentral:lncRNA from 1 species
AACAUCCGCUGCAGCUGCUUCGGUGUUAGCCGGCACACUCUGCUGCAUGGGAGGCUGCACAGGACGGACGCGAGCUGCACAACGCUGGGGCCACUCACCUUCUUGCUCGUGUGCGCCUUGCUGCAUCACCAUGGACGUCGUGGCUGCUCCAUGAGCAGCAAGACGAGCAUGUGGGAGGACCAAUUCAGUGCGCACAGGGGGAGC